UCCGUAUAGGGGCCAGUAUAGCAAUUAC
rnacentral:sRNA from 1 species